GGUCGGUGAUCAUACAGUACCGUUAGUCUAAAUAACUCUCCUCGGGAGAUUAGUACAGAAACAAGACAAUGAUUUUUUGAUUUUUUUAAAUAGUGCUAUGAUCAUGCUAGAUGCAUGCUAUGCUAGAUCUAUGCUAUGCUACGUGCUAUAGUGCUAUGAUCAUGCUAGAUGCAUGCUAUGCUAGAUCUAUGCUAUGUGCUAUGAUCAUGCUAGAUGCAUGCUAUGCUAGAUCUAUGCUAUGCUAAGUGCUAUAUGCUAUGAUCAUGCUAGAUGCAUGCUAUGCUAGAUCUAUGCUAUGUGCUAUGAUCAUGCUAGAUGCAUGCUAUGCUAGAUCUAUGCUAUGUGCUAUGAUCAUGCUAGAUGCAUGCUAUGCUAGAUCUAUGCUAUGCGCUAUAGUGCUAUGACCAUGCUAGAUGCAUGCUAUGCUAGAUCUAUGCUAUGCUAUGUGCUAUGAUCAUGCUAUGCUAGCAAUGCUAGAUCAUGUGCUUAGCGAAGAGGUAGGUCUUUAGUCUUCAUUUGAAGAUCAUCUGAAGGGUCCAUUGAUUUAGCCGUCGCUUCAUCUUUCACUAAGGAGAGCGAUGAGGAUGAGAGCUUCUCAGUCUGCUCUGUUCUCUUAUUGCGACUGCACACUCGAGCAAACACGGCGAAUCGCAGUUUUUCAAAACGGUUUUUUUCCCCCGCAGGUUCGCCGAGGGGCCCAGACGCGUCACGUGACGUCGUCACGACGCUCGUUCGGUCGAAGCCCUCUCCGAUGCACGUCCGUCGAACACGAGUACAGCUAAAAAGAUCUCGGUUACCGACAGACAUCGCUGCGACAGAGCGCGCAGGACGAUUUCGCCGAUUCGAGUAGUUUUCCAGCGAAAAUAAAUAAACAAACAAACACAAAGUUCCAUCGCAAAUUUCGGAAAAGAUUUUUUUUUAAAAAGCCGCGGCAUAUAUUUCAGUAUAAAUGUAUUCACUGCAUUUCCGAGUGGACGUUUCGUUUAAGAUUACGCUUGGCAUUGAGUACUAUAGGUAUGCCGCUGUUUAACAACAUAAUCACGGUCCAUGAAGCACAGAAGAGCCAUAGACUCCUUUAGGCUCGUAUAUGUUCACAGUGUAAGACCUUCUUAAGUUUACUGCAGUGUCUGAAAACAGAACAAGUGUGUGUGUGUGUGUGUGUGUGUGUGUGGGGCUACUGUGACUGGUCAAAGCUGUGUUUAUUCAGUGCUGACAAGGGGGUGGCGUAACCUCCUCCAAACUCUGUCAACAUGGCACACACACACACACACACACACACACACACAAGUAAAGUAAACUAAAGCAGUUCACACUGUAUCGCAAUGCUCUUCCCAGUAAAUAUGAAGGUUUAUGGCCUUAUGCGGUGGCUAUUAUAGCAGCAUUACGGUAACGUUUGGAUUUGAUAUACAAUUAGUACGCAUUAAUGUAUGUAUGCAUGCAUGCAUGCAAGUAUUUCGGAUAAUCAGGCUUCAGAAUUCUCCGGCUCAGGUCAACAGGGAGCACACACAAGGCUAUUUAAACUAAAACACUCAUCAGCCUAGUAUGCAUAAUUCAUAUGCUGUUAUGAGUACACAGUCAUCAACCCACAGCAAA
ensembl:lncRNA